UAGAAAGUUAGAAAAUCAAGCGGG
rnacentral:piRNA from 1 species